rnacentral:rRNA from 1 species
UACGAAGGGUGCAAACGUUGCUCGGAAUUAUUGGGCGUAAAGGGCGCGUAGGCGGCUCGUGAAGUCAGUGGUGAAAGCCCAGGCUCAACUCUGGUCGGCCGACUGAUACUCGCGAGCUCGAGUUGGUAGAGGCAGAUGGAAUUCCGGGUGUAGCGGUGGAAUGCGUAGAGAUCCGGAAGAACACCGGUGGCGAAGGCGGUCUGCUGGGCCAAGACUGACGCGAGGCGCGACAGCGUGGGGAGCAAACAGG